rnacentral:misc_RNA from 1 species
GUGAGACCAGCCUUACUUCGUCACCUGUAAGUCAAAACUGAAGGAAAAGCAUAUUUACGGUUCCAACAUUCCGUCCAACGGAGCAGAACAGACGCCAUGGCCAUCGGAAGCCUAUCCACAACUGUUCUCUUCCUCUCCACCUUCUUCUACAUGGUAUUAGGAGAUGAUGCGGUUGGGAAUUCAGGGCAGUACCCUCUGGUCGUGAGCACCUGGCCCUUCAUAGAAGCUGUUAAAGCUGCAUGGCGGGCUGUUGAUGGUGGGCUUUCUGCCGUGGACGCUGUUGUGGAGGGAUGUUCGACUUGUGAGGAGCUCAGAUGUGAUGGUACAGGUAGUGAUUUCAUAAAGCCUUGGAAACGGUUUUUUCCAUUUAUUUUUGUUGUCUUAUACCCCUUAACAUUUAUGUGCAAGUGUUAUCAGCAUUUUCAGAUUCCAAUUCUCACAAAUGCAUUUCAAGAAACUUCCUGGAUGCUUGUAAUUGCAAAUUGGGAAACAACUCAAUUUAAUGCCCAUUCUUUCAUACAGUAGUUCUACUUGUUUAUACGAGUACUUCUGAAAGUUGAUUUAUAUGACAGAUGCAUGAUCUUCUUGAAAUUGCAUAUUAAUGUUUAUUAUAUGAUCAUAAGAAGAAAAUAUUAUGAUGUAGCCUUGGAAUUUGUUCUUGUAGAUGCUCAUUAUUGUAGCUUUUCUAAGAUGGCUAACAUCUUCAGUGACUUUAAUCUGCAUUGAGCAGUAGGACCUGGUGGAAGUCCAGAUGAGAAUGGAGAAACUACAAUUGAUGCCAUGGUCAUGAAUGGGGUAACCACCUUUCUCGGAUUCCUUUAAUCAACAUUGUGUCAGUGUUCAUUCUUAAUUUUGUCCUUGUUGUUUCACUUAUAUUAAAAAAAUGGUUAAGAUCAUCUAUUUUGCCAAGGAUAUAUAGGUUACAAUGGAGGUUGGGGCUGUUGCUGCAAUGAGAUAUGUGAAAGAUGGCAUCAGAGCUGCAAGAUUAGUGAUGCAGCAUACAGAGCACACUUUGCUUGUUGGGAAGCAAGCGUCAGUCUUUGCCAUUUCAAUGGGUCUCCCUGGACCUACAAAUCUUAGUUCAUCAGAUUCCUUGGAGAAAUGGACUAAAUGGAAAGCAAAUCACUGCCAACCAAACUUUCGGAAAAAUGUUGUGCCUGUUGAUAGCUGUGGCCCUUAUCAUCCAAAGGGCAUAAUGGAUGUCAAUGAGGGGGAAUGUUCCAAAACCAACCUGAUGGGAGUUGCUGAACCAAGAUCAUCUCAUAUUGGUCCUCACAACCAUGACACCAUAUCGAUGGCUGUUAUUGAUAAAGUAAGUUGAUGAAAUAGUGAGUUCAAUUUUACUGACGCACAGUAACCACAUAUAUAUAUUUGCAAACAAACUUAGUUUUGUAUGUAGAUGGGGCGUGUAGCUGUUGGUGCAUCAACUAAUGGAGCCACAUAUAAGAUCCCUGGCAGGUAAGGAGAAUACAUGGUCUGUAGACUGUAGAGUAAACUUCAUUGCUUCGUGAUUUGUAUUGUUUGCCUUGUGAAAUUUGGAUUGUGACAAACAAGAUUCUGCUUCUAUGGUAAUGAAUCAGAAAUUCAGGCUAAUGUUCAUUUUUCAUGCUCCUUUUGUUAGAUCUAACAAUGUUAGUUGCAGAUGGAGUAAGAAGCCAUAAAAAAAAUUGGCAUAAUGUAACUGACUACCAAAAUUGUUUGCCAUAAUCAGCAGCAUCUUUCAAUAUCAAUUUUGAUUGUUGAAGUUUUGGGGCACCUUUCUUUAUGGAAAAAGUGAUGAUAAUGCACUUAUCCUUCUGGUGUGGAUUUUCCCUGUCUUCGGGGCCUCUUUACUUCAACUUUUCGGUUCAGGGUAAUUUAGGAUGCAAAUAUUUUCCUGUUCUUUCUGUGCAAGUGAAUCAGAAGCCAAUCAGAUACAACUUUUGUGCAGUGCAGGCAUUCGUAAUAUGGGUAGCAUAUAAUGCAAUCUUUUCUUUGACUGCAGAGUGGGUGAUGGACCAAUUGCAGGAUCUUCAGCAUAUGCUGACAGUGAUGUUGGUGCUUGUGGUGCAACCGGGGAUGGUGACAUCAUGAUGCGCUUCCUUCCAUGCUAUCAGGUUGUGGAGAGUAUGAGAUUGGGCGUGGAGCCAAGAAUUGCUGCCAAGGAUGCAAUAUCUCGGAUUGCAAGAAAAUUUCCAGAUUUUGUGGGAGCUGUGUUUGCCGUGAAUAAGAGUGGCGUGCAUGCUGGUGCUUGUCAUGGAUGGACAUUUCAGUACUCGGUGAGGAGUCCAGAAAUGGAUGAUGUGGAGGUUUUCACUGUAUUCCCCUGAACCAAAAGUAGGAACUCAUUGCAAACUAAUUUAAUUCUUCUGGAGAUCCAAUACCAUAAAUUUUGUCCAAUGUCAUUGUCUCGGUGCUUCUUUUUCAGAAAUUAUUUUGAUAAUUUUGUGCGCAUGUAUGAUGUUUCCAUACUUUUGACAAUUGGGAGAAUGUUGUGCAAAGGUCGUUGGCAUAUAUAAGAAAUGAUUGUAAUA